AACGGCGGCCGUAACUAUAACGGUCCUAAGGUAGCGAAAUUCCUUGUCAGGUAAGUUCUGACCCGCACGAAAGGCGUAAUGAUUUGGGCACUGUCUCAACAGCCCGCCCGGCGAAAUUGUAGUACCGGUGAAGAUGCCGGUUACCCGCGACAAGACGGAAAGACCCCAUGGAGCUUUACUGUAGCCUAAUAUUGGGUUUCGAUGUUGCAUGCACAGGAUAGAUGGGACACAGGGAAGUGAUCGCUUUGGCGGUCAUGGAGUGGCCGUUGGGAUACCAUCCUUGCGAUAUUGGAAUUCUAACCUGCGCCUUUGAAUCAAGGCGGGGGACAUUGUUAGGUGGGCAGUUUGACUGGGGCGGUCGCCUCCUAAAGAGUAACGGAGGCGUUCAAAGGUUCGCUCAGCUUGAACGGAAAUCAAGCAAAAGAGUGCAAACGCAGAAGCGAGCCUAACUGCGAGACUGACGGGUCGAGCAGUAACGAAAGUUGGAGUUAGUGAUCCGGUGGUAUGUGAGUGGAAAUGCCAUCGCUCAACGGAUAAAAGCUACCCUGGGGAUAACAGGCUGAUCUCCCCCAAGAGUCCACAUCGACGGGGAGGUUUGGCACCUCGAUGUCGGCUCAUCGCAUCCUGGGGCUGAAUUCGGUCCCAAGGGUUUGGCUGUUCGCCAAUUAAAGCGGUACGCGAGCUGGGUUCAGAACGUCGUGAGACAGUUCGGUCCCUAUCUGUCGUGGGCGCAGGAUAUUUGAUGGGAGCUGUUCCUAGUACGAGAGGACCGGAGCGGACGUACCUCUGGCGCACCAGUUGUUCUGCCAAGAGCAUAGCUGGGCAACUAUGUACGGAUCGGAUAAACGCUGAAAGCAUCUAAGCGUGAAGCCGACCCAAAGAUAAGAUAUCCCACUGAUUCAAUCAGGUAAGAUCCCUUGAAGACUACAAGGUUGAUAGGCACAAUGUGUAAGUGGAGUGAUCCAUUCAGCAAGCGUGUACUAAUAGAUCGAGGGCUUGACCAC
rnacentral:rRNA from 1 species